CCCAAUGGCGGGCGGGCUAACCAUGCAAGUCGAGCGGAAACGAGUUAUCUGAACCUUCGGGGAACGAUAACGGCGUCGAGCGGCGGACGGGUGAGUAAUGCCUAGGAAAUUGCCCUGAUGUGGGGGAUAACCAUUGGAAACGAUGGCUAAUACCGCAUGAUGCCUACGGGCCAAAGAGGGGGACCUUCGGGCCUCUCGCGUCAGGAUAUGCCUAGGUGGGAUUAGCUAGUUGGUGAGGUAAGGGCUCACCAAGGCGACGAUCCCUAGCUGGUCUGAGAGGAUGAUCAGCCACACUGGAACUGAGACACGGUCCAGACUCCUACGGGAGGCAGCAGUGGGGAAUAUUGCACAAUGGGCGCAAGCCUGAUGCAGCCAUGCCGCGUGUGUGAAGAAGGCCUUCGGGUUGUAAAGCACUUUCAGUCGUGAGGAAGGUGGUGUUGUUAAUAGCGGCAUUGUUUGACGUUAGCGACAGAAGAAGCACCGGCUAACUCCGUGCCAGCAGCCGCGGUAAUACGGAGGGUGCGAGCGUUAAUCGGAAUUACUGGGCGUAAAGCGCAUGCAGGUGGUUUGUUAAGUCAGAUGUGAAAGCCCGGGGCUCAACCUCGGGAAUAGCAUUUGAAACUGGCAGACUAGAGUACUGUAGAGGGGGGUAGAAUUUUCAGGGUGUAGCGGUGAAAUGCGUAGAGAUCCUGAAGGAAUACCCGGUGGCGAAGGCGGCCCCCUGGGACAGAUACUGACACUCAGAUGCGAAAGCGUGGGGGAGCAAAACAGGAUUAGAUACCCUGGUAGUCCACGCCGUAAACGAUGUCUACUUGGAGGUUGUGGCCUUGAGCCGUGGCUUUCGGAGCUAACGCGUUAAGUAGACCGCCUGGGGAGUACGGUCGCAAGAUUAAAACUCAAAUGAAUUGACGGGGGCCCGCACAAGCGGUGGAGCAUGUGGUUUAAUUCGAUGCAACGCGAAGAACCUUACCUACUCUUGACAUCCAGAGAACUUUCCAGAGAUGGAUUGGUGCCUUCGGGAACUCUGAGACAGGUGCUGCAUGGCUGUCGUCAGCUCGUGUUGUGAAAUGUUGGGUUAAGUCCCGCAACGAGCGCAACCCUUAUCCUUGUUUGCCAGCGAGUAAUGUCGGGAACUCCAGGGAGACUGCCGGUGAUAAACCGGAGGAAGGUGGGGACGACGUCAAGUCAUCAUGGCCCUUACGAGUAGGGCUACACACGUGCUACAAUGGCGCAUACAGAGGGCGGCCAACUUGCGAAAGUGAGCGAAUCCCAAAAAGUGCGUCGUAGUCCGGAUUGGAGUCUGCAACUCGACUCCAUGAAGUCGGAAUCGCUAGUAAUCGUGGAUCAGAAUGCCACGGUGAAUACGUUCCCGGGCCUUGUACACACCGCCCGUCACACCAUGGGAGUGGGCUGCAAAAGAAGUAGGUAGUUUAACCUUCGGGGGGACGCCUUACCCAACUUUGUGGUUCAUGGGGGA
rnacentral:rRNA from 1 species